UACGGGGGGGGCAAGCGUUGUUCGGAAUUACUGGGCGUAAAGGGCUCGUAGGUGGCCAACUAAGUCAGACGUGAAAUCCCUCGGCUUAACCGGGGAACUGCGUCUGAUACUGGAUGGCUUGAAUCCGGGAGAGGGAUGCGGAAUUCCAGGUGUAGCGGUGAAAUGCGUAGAUAUCAGGAGGAACACCAGCGGCGAAGGCGGCGCUCUGGGCCGGUACUGACGCUGAGGAGCGAAAGCGUGGGGAUCAAACAGG
rnacentral:rRNA from 1 species